AGUCGUAAUUUAAGUUUUUAGAAAAUAUAACAAUCUAUAAGAAUUUCAUGUCCCAUUGAGAAGAGAAAGUUCAGGGGGCAGAGUUUAUCAUAUAUUAGAUGGUAUUGUUCAGGGGGCAGAGUUUAUCAUAUAUUAGAUGGGAUUGUUCAGGGGGCAGAGUUUAUCAUAUAUUAGAUGGUAUUGUUCAGGGGGCAGAGUUGAUCAUAUAUUAGAUGGUAUUGUUCAGGGGGCAGAGUUUAUCAUAUAUUAGAUGGGAUUGUUCAGGGGGCAGAGUUUAUCAUAUAUUAGAUGGGAUUGUUCAGGGGGCAGAGUUUAUCAUAUAUUAGAUGGGAUUGUUCAGGGGGCAGAGUUUAUCAUAUAUUAGAUGGGAUUGUUCAGGGGGCAGAGUUUAUCAUAUAUUAGAUGGGAUUGUUCAGGGGGCAGAGUUUAUCAUAUAUUAGAUGGGAUUGUUCAGGGGGCAGAGUUUAUCAUAUAUUAGAUGGGAUUGUUCAGGGGGCAGAGUUUAUCAUAUAUUAGAUGGGAUUGUUCAGGGGGCAGAGUUUAUCAUAUAUUAGAUGGGAUUGCUCAGGGGGCAGAGUUUAUCAUAUAUUAGAUGGGAUUGCUCAGGUGGCAGAGUUUAUCACAUAUUAGAUGGUAUUGCUCAGGGGGCAGAGUUUAUCAUAUAUUAGAUGGGAUUGCUCAGGGGGCAGAGUUUAUCACAUAUUAGAUGGUAUUGCUCAGGGGGCAGAGUUUAUCACAUAUUAGAUGGUAUUGCUCAGGGGGCAGUUAUCAGAUAUUAGUGGCGGUGAGGUAAUACCAUCUAUCAUCUAGUUGGCGGUGAGGUAAUACCAUCUAUCAUCUAGUUGGUAUCGUGGUGAUGGGGAUAAGUACUAGGUAUCGUGGUGAUGGGGAGAAGUACUAGGUAUCGUUGUGAUGGGGAAAAGUACUAGGUAUCGUUGUGAUGGGGAAAAGUACUAGGUAUCGUUGUGAUGGGGAAAAGUACUAGGUAUCGUUGCGAUGGGGAAAAGCACUAGGUAUCGUUGCGAUGGGGAAAAGUACUAGGUAUCGUUGCGAUGGGGAAAAGUACUAGGUAUCGUUGUGAUGGGGAAAAGUACUAGGUAUCGUUGUGAUGGGGAAAAGUACUAGGUAUCGUUGUGAUGGGGAAAAGUACUAGGUAUCGUUGUGAUGGGGAAAAGCACUAGGUAUCGUUGUGAUGGGGAAAAGCACUAGGUAUCGUUGUGAUGGGGAAAAGCACUAGGUAUCGUUGUGAUGGGGAAAAGUACUAGGUAUCGUUGUGAUGGGGAAAAGCACUAGGUAUCGUUGUGAUGGGGAGAAGUACUAGGUAUCGUUGUGAUGGGGAAAAGCACUAGGUAUCGUUGUGAUGGGGAAAAGCACUAGGUAUCGUUGUGAUGGGGAAAAGUACUAGGUAUCGUUGUGAUGGGGAAAAGUACUAGGUAUCGUGGUGAUGGGGAUAUGUACUAGGUAUUGAUGUGUAUUAUUCUAGAGAGCCUCUGACCAGAGGUAGAGGCCACUGGUUUUGACACCUAGGGAGCCUCUGGUCAGAGGUAGAGGCCACUGGUUUUGACACCUAGAGAGCCUCUGGUCAGAGGUAGAGGCCACUGGUUUUGACACCUAGAGAGCCUCUGGUCAGAGGUAGAGGCCACUGGUUUUGACACCUAGAGAGCCUCUGGUCAGAGGUAGAGGCCACUGGUUUUGACACCUAGAGAGCCUCUGGUCAGAGGUAGAGGCCACUGGUUUUGACACCUAGAGAGCCUCUGGUCAGAGGUAGAGCCACUCGUUUUGACAGGAGCCACGUAGAGAACCUCUGUAUCGGACAGCGUGUCAUUUGAAAUGAAAACGUAGAUCUAACGACAACCGGGGUUUGGCAAGGGAUACGUCUGUCUAUUCAUUCAGACCGUGACGAACCUAACCGCGGAAAUUCUAGUAAAGAGAUGUAUUUGCACACACACUUCAUGCAUACAACACCAGAAGACAGUACACUGUACACAGUACACAGUACACAGUACACACGGACGAGUGUUACACAACAAGGAAAAUCCACUUCCAUAAUCCAGUUUAUUUAUCUUUUUGAAUGAACUUGGGUUUUCUUUUUCUGUGUUCUAUUUCUACAGGUUUGGGUUUCCGAUGCACUAUGUUCAUUCAAUGUUUUUUUUUAUUGCAUCGUUUUGCCACUUCCUGUUAGGCACUUUUUGAAGUUAUGCACUUCGAAAAACAUGUUUUAAUUCAAUAAUGCACCCACCCACCCACAGUGCAUUGCUCCUAUUGAAAAUAUUAGAUUAAUACUGGAGGUGGAAGGUAAUGACACAAAUGAUUAUUAAAGUGAAACAAUCAAAUUCACAGCAUCAUUUCAUACCUCUUUUUAUUUUUUUUAUUUUUUUAAGAAUAUCAGAGAUAAUGUGACAUUUCUGGUAAUUUUUUUUCUUGAGGAAAUUUACGGUGUAUUUCCUGAUAUUAAGGAAACCUAUUUUCUUCCUCUGGCUGAAGAUGGUUUGAUGUUAUGCCCUUAGACACAGAUCUAGGAUCAGCUUACCUUCAAUCAUAACCUUAAAUAUCAAUUGGGGGGGUUCAUUUAAAGCUGAACUCGGAUCAGUGUCUAUGGGUUGAUUGGAGCUUAUGGAUCCCAAACGUCUGGUAGUGUGACCACUGACGGCAGUUGUGUGAGGGAAGAGACAUAUAUGUCCAAUGGUUAUAUUCCCAUCGGGAGUCUGGUAGUGUGACCACUGACGGCAGUUGUGUGAGGGAAGAGACAUAUAUGUCCAAUGGUUAUAUUCCCAUCGGAGUCUGGUAGUGUGACCACUGACGGCAGUUGUGUGAGGGAAGAGACAUGUCUGUCCAAUGGUUAUAUUCCCAUCGGGAGUCUGGUAGCAGCUUGUUCUGUAGAACCAUCCAUUUCCCCCUUGUGGAGUUGAACCGACUGGGUUGAGCUAAACAACAUCGGAAUAGUAGGAUUUUUAGUUUGUUUGGUAGCGAAACAAAGUGAAUGUGGACAAUGUUUUUUUAUUUUUAUUUACCUUUCUAAAAGUCUGAAGUGUCAUUUUUGGAAGGAUAUCUAUAACGCAGCAGGAUUUCCUCAUUUUGGGGGGACUUCUUCAUAUGCUAGCUAUGAGAGAACCCUUGUCAUUGCACCUGUUUAUAUAGCAAGUCAUUCCCUUAUGGUUCUAUUGUCCUACCUGGUGUGGUGUUUCGGUAGGUUGAGCCUGUGAGGUUGUGAGCCAUGACUUUAUGCAAUGUCUUACCGUAUGAUAUGUCCAACUCUGCAAUGAGGAUGAUUUAUGGUCUGCAAUGAGGAUGAUUUAUGGUCUGCAAUGAGGAUGAUUUAUGGUCUGCAAUGAGGAUGAUUUAUGGUCUGCAAUGAGGAUGAUUUAUGGUCUGCAAUGAGGAUGAUUUAUGGUCUGCAAUGAGGAUGAUUUAUGGUCUGCAAUGAUGAUGAUUUAUGGUCUGCAAUGAGGAUGAUUUAUGGUCUGCAAUGAGGAUGAUUUAUGGUCUGCAAUGAUGAGGAUGAUUUAUGGUCUGCAAUGAUGAGGAUGAUUUAUGGUCUGCAAUGAUGAGGAUGAUUUAUGGUCUGCAAUGAGGAUGAUUUAUGGUCUGCAAUGAGGAUGAUUUAUGGUCUGCAAUGAUGAGGAUGAUUUAUGGUCUGCAAUGAUGAGGAUGAUUUAUGGUCUGCAAUGAGGAUGAUUUAUGGUCUGCAAUGAGGAUGAUUUAUGGUCUGCAAUGAGGAUGAUUUAUGGUCUGCAAUGAUGAGGAUGAUUUAUGGUCUGCAAUGAGGAUGAUUUAUGGUCUGCAAUGAGGAUGAUUUAUGGUCUGCAAUGAUGAGGAUGAUUUAUGGUCUGCAGUGAUGAGGAUAAUUUAUGGUUUGCAAUGAUGAGGAUGAUUUAUGGUUUGCAGUGAUGAGGAUGAUUUAUGGUCUGCAAUGAGGAUGAUUUAUGGUUUGCAAUGAUGAGGAUGAUUUAUGGUUUGCAGUGAUGAGGAUGAUUUAUGGUUUGCAGUGAUGAGGAUGAUUUAUGGUCUGCAGUGAUGAGGAUGAUUUAUGGUUUGCAAUGAUGAGGAUGAUUUAUGGUCUGCAAUGAUGAGGAUGAUUUAUGGUCUGCAAUGAGGAUGAUUUAUGGUUUGCAGUGAUGAGGAUGAUUUAUGGUUUGCAGUGACGGUGACUCGUGGUCUGCAGUGGUUUUGGACACGUUGUGCUUUGGUUGACAUGCCAAAUGUAUUCAAAUUUGUUAAGAGACUAAGCUUGGCAUAGGUUCUGACAUAGAGAAGCUGGUAAUGGUCAUAGACUACAGGCUAUUUUAGGAUUCUGUGCACCAUGGUUGUCUAAAGGGAAAUGGUUGUCCACAGAACAAGUGACCCCCUCCAAAAAAAAAAAGACAUUUGAGACUAAAUAAAUCGAGAAAAGAAUGAAACAUUAGCUAAAUAACUUUCUCUACAUCACUAACAUGUGAAGCAGCAUUUAUAUAUUAGUAGUCUUUGUUUUUUUGUGUGUUUUUUCCCGGGUGUACUUGUGUGCAUUCUAUCAACAAAGACUACCAGAAUAGUAAGAUAUUAUACAAAUCGGUGGAUUAAAUAUAUAUUUCUAAUUGUGAAAAAUGAAAAUGCACUCCUUAUUCACUGAAGUGCCAAUCCUGACCAACUAAAGACAUGAGGUUGAUUUAAAUGUCUUUUGAGUUGGUGAUCAUAAUCUUUUUCUUUUUAUUUCCUUGAAUGUGCACGUUUGUAGUGCAAAAUACUGUUGAUGUUUUGUUUUUUUCUUACCUUCUAGUUCCAUGACUUGCCGUGGUUUCUCUAAACAAGUGGCAUUCUUUACUGCUUUUGCACAACAACAAAAAACUGGGAUUGAGUCAGAACAGAGGAAUAAUUUAAUCGACAGAAUAAAAUACCUUUUUUUUUUUUUUAUCUUGGUGAUCCGUCUAAAGUGAAUAAUGAUGCUUCUUCCAUUUUAAGGUGUUGUUUUCACUGUUCAGACCCUCACGCUGAUGCAACUGCAGGACCGCCAGUCCAGACAUGGGUUUGAUUAGAGAAAGGCAGAGCCAUCAAGUGUAAUUUUAGGCUGAGAACAGACUGCAUUGCACAUUAGUAGGUCCCUGAGUUUUUCCUUAGUCGGGUAAUAUGGCCUGGAAAAGAUCCGAGCCCAGGCCAAUACAGGGCCACGUUCAGUAGCUAAACGUUGCAGAUAGAGGAGCCCACGUGAUUCAUUCUACAUUGUAGAGGCAUGUUUGUUCUACAUAGCAUAUUUCUAUCUUAAUGUUCUAAACUGUUGUGCCCUGCUGAACGGUCUGUUCAACUUGCAUGUUGGCACGACCCAUCUUCCCACAAACAGCCACAUAAUGCACGACCCAUCUACCCACAAACAGCCACAUAAUGCACGACCCAUCUACCCACAAACAGCCACAUAAUGCACGACCCAUCUACCCACAAACAGCCACAUAAUGAGUAACCCAUCUACCCACAAACAGCUAACAGCCACAUAAUGCACGACCCAUCUACCCACAAACAGCCACAUAAUGCACGACCCAUCCACAAACAGCCACAUAAUGCACGACCCAUCUACCCACAAACAGCCACAUAAUGCACGACCCAUCUACCCACAAACAGCCACAUAAUGCACGACCCAUCUACCCACAAACAGCCACAUAAUGCACGACCCAUCUACCCACAAACAGCCACAUAAUGCACGACCCAUCUACCCACAAACAGCCACAUAAUGCACGACCCAUCUACCCACAAACAGCCACAUAAUGCACGACCCAUCUACCCACAAACAGCCACAUAAUGCACGA